GAUGAACGCUGGCGGCGUGCCUAAUACAUGCAAGUCGAGCGAAUGGAUUAAGAGCUUGCUCUUAUGAAGUUAGCGGCGGACGGGUGAGUAACACGUGGGUAACCUGCCCAUAAGACUGGGAUAACUCCGGGAAACCGGGGCUAAUACCGGAUAACAUUUUGAACCGCAUGGUUCGAAAUUGAAAGGCGGCUUCGGCUGUCACUUAUGGGUGGACCCGCGUCGCAUUAGCUAGUUGGUGAGGUAAUGGCGCACCAAGGCAACGAGGCGUAGCCGACCUGAGAGGGGAAUCGGCGACACUGGGACUGAGACACGGCCCAGACUCCUACGGGAGGCAGCAGUAGGGAAUCUUCCGCAAUGGACGAAAGUCUGACGGAGCAACGCCGCGUGAGUGAUGAAGGCUUUCGGGUCGUAAAACUCUGUUGUUAGGGAAGAACAAGUGCUAGUUGAAUAAGCUGACACCUUGACGGUACCUAACCAGAAAGCCACGGCUAACUACGUGCCAGCCGCCGCAGUAA
rnacentral:rRNA from 1 species